rnacentral:rRNA from 1 species
GGAGCAUCCAUGAGUAAAGUGGCGUACGGGUGAGUAACACGUGGAUCAUCUACCUUCUAGUGGGGAAUACCGUUGGGAAACCGACGACAAUACCGCAUAAGCUCGAGAGAGGAAAGCCGCAAGGCGCUGGAAGAGGAGUCCGCGGCUGAUUAGCUAGUUGGUGAGGUAAUGGCUCACCAAGGCUCAGAUCAGUAGCCGGCCUGAGAGGGCACACGGCCACACUGGCACUGAAACACGGGCCAGACUCCUACGGGAGGCAGCAGUGGGGAAUCUUGCACAAUGGGGGAAACCCUGAUGCAGCGACGCCGCGUGAGCGAUGAAGCCCUUCGGGGUGUAAAGCUCUUUCGGCAGGGAAGAUUAUGACGGUACCUGCAGAAGCAGCUGCGGCUAACUACGUGCCAGCAGCCGCGGUAAUACGUAGGCAGCAAGCGUUGUUCGGAGUUACUGGGCGUAAAGGGUGUGUAGGCGGUUGGAUAAGAGUGGUGUGAAAUCUCCCGGCUUAACUGGGAGGGUGCGCUACAGACUGUCUGACUAGAGUGUGGGAUGGGAGAGUGGAAUUCCUGGUGUAGCGGUGAAAUGCGUAGAUAUCAGGAGGAACACCGGUGGUGUAGACGGCUCUCUGGACCAUAACUGACGCUGAGACACGAAAGCGUGGGUAGCAAACAGGAUUAGAUACCCUGGUAGUCCACGCCCUAAACGAUG